rnacentral:rRNA from 1 species
UACGUAGGGUGCAAGCGUUUAUCGGAAUUACUGGGCGUAAAGCGUGCGCAGGCGGCUAUGCAAGACAGAUGUGAAAUCCCCGGGCUCAACCUGGGAACUGCAUUUGUGACUGCAUGGCUAGAGUACGGUAGAGGGGGAUGGAAUUCCGCGUGUAGCAGUGAAAUGCGUAGAUAUGCGGAGGAACACCGAUGGCGAAGGCAAUCCCCUGGACCUGUACUGACGCUCAUGCACGAAAGCGUGGGGAGCAAACAGG